rnacentral:RNase_P_RNA from 1 species
GUACAGACGAUCGCUGCGGUAUCCCGCAGAGGAAAGUCCGGGCUUCAUAGGGCAGGACGCCGGAUAACGUCCGGUAGAGGUGACUCUAAGGAAAGUGCAACAGAAAAUAAACCGCCAGUUUACUGGUAAGGGUGGAAUGGAAGUGUAAGAGACUACCACUGGUCUGGCAACAGACCGGGAUCGUGUAAACCCCGUCCGAAGCAAGGCUGAUAAAGACCAUAUGGCUGCCCGCCAUGUUUUUAGGUAGCUGCUUGAGCUUUGCGGUGACGCAAAGUCCAGAUAGAUGAUCGUCCGCGACAUAACCCGGCUUAUCGUACGGCUCCU